UGCAGCUCUCCUUAGCAAUCGGGCCAGCCACACAGCGGCCCCGAGGGCCCGCAUGCAGACCUGCUGCCUGAGUCCACACCUUGGAUCAAGUGGGCACCAAACCCCUUCUGUAAGGAGAGCCUUUGCCUGCCCCCCCUCCUGCCUGCAACUGCAGGGACAUCUGUCUCCCCUGCCCUCGCAUUCCCAGCGCUUGGCAAGGGGCCUGGUCUAUGCUCAGCCUUUGUUCAAAGCAUGAAGAAGGAAGGAACAAAGGCUCUGACGGUCCUGUGAAGAGCCCCUGCCCCAGUACCCACAGGCCUCGGCACCGACUCCCUCAUUCCCCCUUCUAUGGUACCUGGGAUGGAUCUCCAUAGGACAGGCUUUGCAUCGUCUGAUGACUAAGAAAGCUUCUGGAAGUCAGCGCCUGGGCCUUGUAUCUCUAUCCCCCAGGCCAGCUCAGUGUCCAUCACAUAGUGGGUACUCAGUAACUGAAAGGAACCAAGAUUUAUGAGACACUCUUAGCAUCCUUGAAUCUGGCCAGCCAGCCUGCCUUUCUGCGUGACUGUCACUCCCUACUGGAGCCUGUGCCCCAGCCGAGCUGCAUUCCUGGAAGCUUCCAGAAAUUGCACAAAGUAGGUGCCUGCUGCAGAAGCAAAGCACAGUCCCUUCUAGGUGGCCCAGGUACAGUCCCUUCUAGGCCACCUGCUCCGGCGCAGAGACACCCCCAGACACAUGGCUCGUAGCACAAGGUUGUCUUUAUUGUGAUGCUCAGUGGAAAACAUCUGUAAACCAGCUCACUGUAGUGGUGGCGGCUGCAACCAUGCUAAGGCACUUCCAUUAUAUAAAAAAAGGGCAGGGGUGGGAGUUCUGUUCACUCCUUUGUGACAGCAACUGGGACCUGAAUUCAGAGCUUUUUAGGCAUAUGUAGCUUUUAUAUAUCUUCAUGAUUUCUUGAGAGUUUGUUUCCUUAAAAAAAAAAAAUGCCUUUUUUGCCAUAAGUAAGUCUAAAUGCAGCAUAUACAGAACAGUUAGGAAUACGGGGAUCAGCCACCAGUGUAGACCAGUGUAGGACAAGCUACUCUCUUCUAGACGUGGUUCCAAAGGAAAGGCAGUGAUAAAGACUUGGAAUUUUACCAUUUAUUACAGUUAGAGGGAGAAAAGACAACUGUUUUUUUCUUUUAAAAAUAUCUGUGCAGAUGGCAGAGUCUUGAAUUAUACUGAGUCAACGGUGCAGGUCAGCUACCCUCGGGCCCCAG